UACGUAGGGUGCAAGCGUUGUCCGGAAUUAUUGGGCGUAAAGAGCUCGUAGGCGGUCUGUCGCGUCGGCUGUGAAAACCCGGAGCUCAACUCCGGGCCUGCAGUCGAUACGGGCAGACUGGAGUUCGGCAGGGGAGACUGGAAUUCCUGGUGUAGCGGUGAAAUGCGCAGAUAUCAGGAGGAACACCAAUAGCGAAGGCAGCUCGCUGGGACGUUACUGACACUGAGGCGCGAAAGCGUGGGGAGCGAACAGG
rnacentral:rRNA from 1 species